AUGGGGUGGAAGGCCGCGGAGAAGCUCAUCAGGCACUGGAAGAUCCUCCGCGGCGACAACGUGAUGAUCAUAAGGGGCAAGGACAAGGGGGAGAGCGGGCUGAUCAAGCGGGUCAUCCGGUCGCAGAAUCGCGUCAUCGUCGAGGGCAAGAAUCUGGUUAAGAAACAUAUUAAGCAAGGGGAAGGACAAACAGGUGGGAUCUUCUCAAUUGAAGCUCCACUUCAUGUUUCAAAUGUACAAGUAAUUGAUCCAGUCACCGGGAAACCAUGCAAGACUACAUACAAGUAUUUGCCAGAUGGGACUAAAGUAAGGGUCUCUAGAGGAAUGUAUGCGUCUGGUGCUGUCAUACCUCGGCCAGAAAUUUUGAAGGAGAGAAAAAAGCCGAGACCCACAUCUCAUGGCCCAAAGGACACACCAAUUGAGCAUGUGCUGGAGAAGACCUAUGAUGCCAAAGCUGGAAUUGGUAUGCCUGAUCUAUGA
rnacentral:rRNA from 1 species